GCUUCUCUGAUGUUAGCGGCGGACGGGUGAGUAACACGUGGGUAACCUACCUAUAAGACUGGGAUAACUCCGGGAAACCGGGGCUAAUACCGGAUAAUAUAUUGAACCGCAUGGUUCAAUGUUGAAAGACGGUUUCGGCUGUCACUUAUAGAUGGACCCGCGCCGUAUUAGCUAGUUGGUAAGGUAACGGCUUACCAAGGCAACGAUACGUAGCCGACCUGAGAGGGUGAUCGGCCACACUGGAACUGAGACACGGUCCAGACUCCUACGGGAGGCAGCAGUAGGGAAUCUUCCGCAAUGGGCGAAAGCCUGACGGAGCAACGCCGCGUGAGUGAUGAAGGUCUUAGGAUCGUAAAACUCUGUUGUUAGGGAAGAACAAAUUUGUUAGUAACUGAACAAGUCUUGACGGUACCUAACCAGAAAGCCACGGCUAACUACGUGCCAGCAGCCGCGGUAAUACGUAGGUGGCAAGCGUUAUCCGGAAUUAUUGGGCGUAAAGCGCGCGUAGGCGGUUUCUUAAG
rnacentral:rRNA from 2 species